AGUCACUGAUGAUUUAGUUGUAAGAGUAGUGGACAGAAGCGAUUUCUGAAUAAUUUUACGCUGAGACU